GUUCAGGGAUGGGAAUCGAACCCACAAUGUUCCGUUUACCGGACAGAUGCCAUGUCCACUAAGCUACCCUGGA
rnacentral:tRNA from 1 species